rnacentral:rRNA from 1 species
AAAUGCAAAAUGGACUGAAUAAAUUUAACACUUAACAUUUAAAUUUAACACUUAACACUUAACAAAUAAAUUUAACACGGUGGAUGGUGGUGCAUGGCCGUUCUUAGUUGGUGGAGCGAUUUGUCUGGUUAAUUCCGAUAACGAACGAGACUCUAGCCUAUUAAAUAGGUGCGGGGUUCCCAGCACCUUACAACCUUCUUAGAGGGACAAGCGGCUCCUAGCCGCACGAAACAGAGCAAUAACAGGUCUGUGAUGCCCUUAGAUGUCCGGGGCCGCACGCGCGCUACACUGAAGGAAGCAGCGUGUCUUUAUCCCUGUCUGAAAAGACUGGGUAACCCGUGGAACUUCUUUCGUGAUUGGGAUAGGGGCUUGCAAUUGUUCCCCUUGAACGAGGAAUUCCCAGUAAGCGCGAGUCAUAAGCUCGCGUUGAUUACGUCCCUGCCCUU